UACGAAGGGGGCUAGCGUUGCUCGGAAUCACUGGGCGUAAAGGGUGCGUAGGCGGGUUUUUAAGUCAGAGGUGAAAUCCUGGAGCUCAACGUCCAGAACUGCCUUUGAUACUGGAAGUCUUGAGUAUGGGAGAGGUGAGUGGAACUGCGAGUGUAGAGGUGAAAUUCGUAGAUAUUCGCAAGAACACCAGUGGCGAAGGCGGCUCACUGGCCCAUUACUGACGCUGAGCACGAA
rnacentral:rRNA from 1 species